rnacentral:lncRNA from 1 species
UUUCUCUAAUGAUUCUAAGAAUCAUUAAUCAUUAUAGUAAUGACAUGUGGAUACAAAAAAAAGUUGUAAUGUUUCUAAAAUAAUAUAUAGGUGAUUGAGUUCCCGAUCAAAAUGUACAUAUGUGUUAUGUGUAUGAUUUCAUUCCUUUUUUGUAACUUGGUCAAAGGUUAAUCUCCUUACGAACCAAUGAAUUAUAAUUAUAAUUAGAUAUAUAUCGUCUCUAACCGCGGCUCGUUUUCCGUAACUAUAGAGAAAAAUUUCUAACUGCACCAGCUAGAUUUUGAUUAGACAAAAAUUGGUGAAAUAAUGAAAAAAAUAAAUUAAAAUUAUAAAAGGGUUAAUUUGCUCUAUAACCAAUUUUUGAAGGGAAAUUAAGUGCAUGUCAAUGAUUUUGACAUAAUUAACUCACUGACAAUUAGUUUCUAUUUUAGUCGGUUAUACCCUGAUCCUUUAUUAGUAGCCUGUAGAAAAAGAAAAGGUGAAUGAUGUAGUUGCUACAAUGCAUGGAUGAGAGAAAAACAUCAUUAUUACUAUUAUAUCACGUAAUGCCACCAACUUACGCACUUAUUUAUGGUAUAUUAUGCACUGUAAUAAAACCUAAAUCAUACACUUAUUUGCCACAAACAUAUUUAUACAUGAAAGAUGAAGGAGCUAUCUAUGAACGUGACCACAUAAAUAGGUACAUAACGUUCUAUUCCAUAUGGCCGAAGUAGUAUAAGACUAUAACCAUAUCCAUAAUCCCUAAUAAUAUAAGACACCAACUCCAUCUCAAUUCCUAAAUAAUAAAGUUAUCUUAAACCCACUUUCAACCUCUAAAUACUAAAUUCUAAACCAUAAUCAUUAAACACUAAACCCAAAUAUGAGUUAUAAACCUAAAUAUCAACUAUAAAUCUAAAUAGAAUAGAACAAAAUAAAUAGUAUAGUAUAUAUUGGAGAAGUUAUGAAAUGUUUAUGCUUGCAUGAAAGAAGUUAAUGUUGAUCAAAACCUCAACCCCCAUCUUCCAAAUACUAAACCCUAAAUCCUAAUUACUAAACUCUCAACCCAAAUAUAAGCCC